rnacentral:rRNA from 1 species
UAGAGUUUGAUCAUGGCUCAGGAUGAACGCUGGCGGUAUGCCUAACACAUGCAAGUCGAACGAAUCCUUCGGGAUUAGUGGCGGACGGGUGAGUAACGCGUGAGAAUCUGCCUUCAGGAUGGGGACAACAGUUGGAAACGACUGCUAAUACCCAAUAUGCCGCAAGGUGAAAGUUUUUCGCCUGAAGAGGAGCUCGCGUCCGAUUAGCUAGUUGGGGUGGUAAAAGCGCACCAAGGCAACGAUCGGUAGCUGGUCUGAGAGGAUGAGCAGCCACACUGGGACUGAGACACGGCCCAGACUCCUACGGGAGGCAGCAGUGAGGAAUUUUCCGCAAUGGGCGAAAGCCUGACGGAGCGACACCGCGUGGAGGAUGACGGCCCGUGGGUUGUAAACUCCUUUUCUUAGAGAAGAAUUUUGACGGUAUCCAAGGAAUAAGCAUCGGCUAACUCUGUGCCAGCAGCCGCGGUAAUACAGAGGAUGCAAGCGUUAUCCGGAAUGAUUGGGCGUAAAGCGUCUGUAGGUGGAUUUUUAAGUCUGCUGUCAAAGACCAGGGCUCAACCUUGGAAAGGCAGUAGAAACUAAAAGUCUUGAGUACGGUAGAGGCAGAGGGAAUUCCCGGUGUAGCGGUGAAAUGCGUAGAGAUCGGGAAGAACACCAAUGGCGAAAGCACUCUGCUGGGCCGAAACUGACACUGAGAGACGAAAGCUAGGGGAGCGAAUGGGAUUAGAUACCCCAGUAGUCCUAGCCCGUAAACGAUGGAUACUAAGCGUUAACCCUUUAACAGGGAUAGUGCUGUAGCUACGCGUGAGUAUCCCGCUGGGGGAGUACGCUCGCAGGAGUGAAACCUCAAAGGAAUUGACCG